rnacentral:misc_RNA from 1 species
AACAUCGCGCACCUGCGGGAACCUGCGGAAGGAUCAUUACAGAGUUGCAAAACUCCCUAAACCAUUGUGAACCUACCUUCUACCGUUGCUUCGGCGGGCGGGCCUAGCGCCCCCCCGGCCCCCCGCGGGCGCCCGCCGGAGGAUAACCAAACUCUUGACAUCAGUGGCCUCUCUGAGUAUUCUUUACUGAAUAAGUCAAAACUUUCAGCAACGGAUCU